rnacentral:lncRNA from 1 species
CACCCUUUUCUGCAAUGCAAGUUCUGAUUGCUGAAGUGUUUUCGAAAACGCUGGACGAAAAAGGGCCUCGGAAGAAAGAGUCUAGACGAAGUCGACGCGGUUUCCUAGCGGCUUAAAGGGAGUGGCUGUAUUGUCUCAGGGAAAAAGAGUGGAAGCGUGGUGUUCUAAGAAAUGGACAAUAACGAUCUGAAGACGUAUGAAUAUGAAAUCUGCUCUUUAGAGAAUGAAAUUAAGAAGUUAACAGAAGAGUAUGAACGCAGGCAACAUGAGGCAAUGGCUUAUUCUGAUGGGGAGAUAAUGAAGACAGUGAAAUCAUUGAAAAGAAAAUCCCCAGAAGAACCAAAGCAAUGUGACUCUUUUCCAGCCUUGAAACAUCAGCUUGAUUUAUUGGAGUCUGAUCUCUCAUUCAUAAUGAAAUUUACAGGCAUUUGUCUUACACAUUAUACUAGAAAACUUGUGGAGCAAAGU